UACGGAGGGUGCAAGCGUUAUCCGGAUUCACUGGGUUUAAAGGGUGCGUAGGUGGAUCGGUAAGUCCGUGGUGAAAUCCCCGAGCUUAACUCGGGAACUGCCGUGGAUACUAUCGAUCUUGAAUACUGUGGAGGUAAGCGGAAUAUGUCAUGUAGCGGUGAAAUGCUUAGAUAUGACAUAGAACACCGAUAGCGAAGGCAGCUUGCUACACAGUUAUUGACACUGAGGCACGAAAGCGUGGGGCGCAAACAGG
rnacentral:rRNA from 1 species